GCUGUAGCACUGGCACCGAAUAAGCUAGUAAACAGGGGCAUAAUUUAGACGCAAUCCAUCUUUCAUCUACAGCAAAAAAUUUCCCAUGUAGCCUCCUCAGGUAUUUACACGAGGGGGUAGAUCUUGAUUGAGACUUUUCGACGAAGGGGUCUCAUAGUCCUGAUCAGCAGUUCACGCCGCAUUGCCCCAAAGCAACGGCUUUCUGUGUUGGGGAGAUGAAAGGGUCAAUCUUCACCCACAGCAGGGAGAAGAUAGACGCAAGGAGGAUGGACCAGACAAUGACGAUGGUUGGCGUGCGGUUCUGCCUGCCCAUGAGACCCUUGAGGAAAGGGUAGAGAUGGAGGAUCACCCAGAUUGAGAAGAACAGCUUUCCAAAAAGCGGACCCCAGGAUUGGUAGCCACUGUUAAUAGCAUAUGAAAUUCCUGCCACCAUUCCGACCAGGUUAAUGACAAGCACAGUGGUUGGUGGGAUGAGCAAACUGGUCCACUUGA
rnacentral:lncRNA from 1 species